rnacentral:rRNA from 1 species
UAGGGAAUCUUCGGCAAUGGACGAAAGUCUGACCGAGCAACGCCGCGUGAGUGAAGAAGGUUUUCGGAUCGUAAAACUCUGUUGUUAGAGAAGAACAAGGACGUUAGUAACUGAACGUCCCCUGACGGUAUCUAACCAGAAAGCCACGGCUAACUACGUGCCAGCAGCCGCGGUAAUACGUAGGUGGCAAGCGUUGUCCGGAUUUAUUGGGCGUAAAGCGAGCGCAGGCGGUUUCUUAAGUCUGAUGUGAAAGCCCCCGGCUCAACCGGGGAGGGUCAUUGGAAACUGGGUGAAUUGAGUGCAUAAGAGGAGAGUGGAAUUCCAUGUGUAGCGGUGAAAUGCGUAGAUAUAUGGAGGAACACCAGUGGCGAAGGCGGCACUCUGGUCUGUAACUGACGCUGAGGCUCGAAAGCGUGGGGAGCAAACAGG